GUACGUGAAGGGGGGAUUCUGACUUAGAGGCGUUCAGUCAUAAUCCCACAGAUGGUAGCUUUGCACCAGUGGCUCCUCAGCCAAGCACACGCACCAAAUGUCUGAAUCUCUUGUACGGAGAAGGAUUUUUAUUGCAAUGACGGUACAUCAGUAGGGUAAAACUAUCCUGUCUCACGACAGUCUAACGUAAUCAUGCCAGUACG